rnacentral:sRNA from 1 species
UUUCGGUUUGAACGGUGGGGCCACUGAU